rnacentral:tRNA from 1 species
GUCGGGGUAGUUCAGUGGUUAGAACGCCGCGCUCAUAACGCGGAGGUCGUGGGUUCAAUUCCCACUCUCGACA